AUAACAGAAAAACCAGGAGUGUGUCCAAAAACCAAUCCUGAAGAUGACAUGUUAGGAGUGUGCUGAGUUGUGUUCCCAAGAUGGUCACUGUCCGAAUGAUGAGAAAUGCUGCAGCAAUGGAUGUGGACAUCAGUGUAUGGCUGUAUCUAAAGUAAAGCCAGGAGUGUGUCCAAAGAGAUUCCUUGGAGUAGGAUUGUGUAAAGGGUUGUGUGUCAAUGACAUUGACUGUCCGAAAGAUGAAAAAUGCUGCAGUACUAAAUGUGGACGCAAAUGUACACAUCCAUAUAAAGUGAGGCCUGGUCUAUGUCU